rnacentral:rRNA from 1 species
AGUGAUGGUGAUGGAAAUGUAGUUGCGGUGUAGCUGAUUUCACACUUUUUAGAAAUGUCUCUAUCGAGGUUAAAGGUACCCGUACCGCAAACCGACACAGGUGGGUGAGGAGAGUAUCCUAAGGCCAGCGAGAGAACUGUUGUUAAGGAACUCGGCAAAAUGACCCCGUAACUUAGGGAUAAGGGGUGCCACCAUCAGGUGGCCGCAGAGAAUAGGCCCAAGCGACUGUUUACCAAAAACAUAGGUUUCUGCUAAGUCGCAAGACGAUGUAUAGGAGCUGACGCCUGCCCGGUGCUGGAAGGUUAAGGGGAUCUGUUAGAGCAAUCGAAGCAGUGAACUUAAGCCCCAGUAAACGGCGGCCGUAACUAUAACGGUCCUAAGGUAGCGAAAUUCCUUGUCGGGUAAGUUCCGACCCGCACGAAAGGCGUAACGAUUUGGG